rnacentral:lncRNA from 1 species
GGCUUCUGCGAUGUCAGAGACGAAGUCUGAGCCUUGCUAAAUAUGCUCUAAAUAAAAGCAUUGAUAAUAUGUUAUUUUGUGAAUAGGGAAAGGACAAGGGUGGUAGUUAAACAAGGAGAAUAAGAUGAUAAUGAGCAAAUAGUUGUAAGGAAGUGAGUAUGUAUCCACGGGGUGAUACAUAAUGUGCAUGGAUUUGGAUACAAAAUACCACCUAGUAUGGAUGUAAGUACAGGAAUAGGAUUUUACCCGUUGGGUAUAUAGAUGUGGGCGG